rnacentral:rRNA from 1 species
GACGAACGCUGGCGGCGUGCUUAACACAAGCAAGUCGAACGGAAAGGCCCUGCCUUUGUGGGGUGCUCGAGUGGCGAACGGGUGAGUAACACGUGAGUAACCUGCCCUUGACUUUGGGAUAACUUCAGGAAACCGGGGCUAAUACCGGAUAGGAGCUUCUGCUGCCUGGUGGGGGUUGGAAAGUUUCGGCGGUUGGGGAUGGACUCGCGGCUUAUCAGCUUGUUGGUGGGGUAGUGGCUUACCAAGGCUUUGACGGGUAGCCGGCCUGAGAGGGUGACCGGCCACAUUGGGACUGAGAUACGGCCCAGACUCCUACGGGAGGCAGCAGUGGGGAAUAUUGCACAAUGGGCGGAAGCCUGAUGCAGCAACGCCGCGUGCGGGAUGACGGCCUUCGGGUUGUAAACCGCUUUCGCCUGUGACGAAGCGUGAGUGACGGUAAUGGGUAAAGAAGCACCGGCUAACUACGUG